UCUUCUCUCCUGCUCCGUUCCCUUUCUCUUCUUAAUUCCAUUGCUUUCCUCUGCAGCAGACCGGUUCUUCUCCUCUUCGGGUGCUGCAUUCCUCCAUCAUUUCCUUUAGUUGGUUGACCGAAGCAUUUGUGCACCUCUUUUCUCUUCUUUGUUUCUUGUUUAUUUCCUUUUUAUUGUGGUGUGAAAAGCCCCUUGUUUUCCCUUUGAUUCACACGGUUUAUGCUCUGUUUUGUGCCGAAAAUAUGCUCUGUUUUCUUGGCCAUUUUGUGUUCAGUUUUCCCUCUCUUUAUCUCUAGUAAUUUUGUGCUCUUGAUCGUGGGAAAUUUCUUGUGAUUUGCGGGUGUUUUCCUCUUCAACCCGUGCCCUGUUUUUCAGCCAACCCGUGCAUGUGUUUUUGGCCCAGCUGUGAGUUUCACCUUGGAGUUUCUUGGUUAUUUUUCCUCUACUGGAAGCCUUGUUUUCCAGCUUUAAUCUUCUCAUUUUAUCCCAGCAAAUCAGCCCUUUAAUCCGAAAAUUUCACUUUAAAAUCCCCUUGUUUUCGAAAACCGAUUUCCGUCCCAAAAACUGUAUUUUUGGUAGUUUAUUUUCAAGCUAGCUUUUCGAAGCUAAAGUUGCUGUUUAAUCUUCUAGAAAUUUACCUUUAAAGCACUGAAAGUAUUUUUUCGAACAACUCUUGUGAUUUAAAUAUAUUUAUGCUUUAACAAAUAUUCUGUGUUUGGUUUGUUAUGCCAGACUGAGUUUGAGGAGUUUGGGCGUCGGUUGAAUUUGAGAAAGGAGUUGUUUGCUUGUUUGGUUGAUGUUGGGAUUUGUUGAAUUAUUUUUGUGACUUGUUGCUUCUAUUGCAUGGUGCACACAUGAUCAUGUGUUAUAAAAUGAAAAUUGAGUUUUCGCAUAAUGCAUGCAUAUUCAUGGACAUGAAUGGAAAACUGGGUUUUCAAGUGUUGAUGGAUUUUUUUGGUACAUGUGUAUCAUGGCCCUAAGUCGAGAUGGAGCAUUUUUUCGGUGGAGUUCAUCUAGUUACUCGGGAGCGCAAUAUACUGAGUGACAUUUUCUAGAUUGUCACUAGGUAACAACGAGAUCAGACAAGAUGGUAACGCUCGUGUCAACUUCGUGGCCUCUCUGCUGGCGGGGGUUAGAGGAUGCUUGGCUAUGUACGUGCUGAGUGUGGAACUGGGUAUAUCUUAUUACGAAGUCACAUGCAUGGUUGUUACCCAUGGUGUGACGAACGGAGCUAGGGUGUGCGGAUGAUCCCUGAGGGAGAUCAUAGUGCAUACGGUUAAGAAAAUUGGAUGUUGGUUUUGAUAAUGGAUAUUGGGCCAUUUUUCGGGAAAUGACGAGACUAUUUUAAUGGAUUGGAUUUUGGGUCAAAUGAGAUUUUUGGCUUGUGUGGAAAAUUAGUCUUUUUCAAGGAAAGGAUAAUUUUUGGGUUCUCAUGCAUUUGGCAUCAUAAAGGCAUCAUAUUCACGCAUUUUGUUAUUAUAUGAAUGCAUUUUUAUCUUGAGGUUUGCUUGGAUGAUUACUUACCUGCGGUAUUGUUUCUUGGUACCGUAGAUUUCAAUUUAGCUGACGAAGAGGCUAAGUCCAAGGAGGUGGCUCUGCCGGAGGAGUAGUUUGAAGUCUCUACCUAUAAUUGUUAGAAAUUAUUUUCAGCUUUCAAAUUAUGUAUUUUAGUUUAUGACUUGUUACUUUAAUUUGUAAUAUUUUUGAUAUGCUUGUUUUAAGCGAGUUUGUAUUUAAAUAAAAUUUUAAUACUUAGUCGAUUGACUUUUAUUA